rnacentral:rRNA from 1 species
CCUACGGGUGGCUGCAGUGGGGAAUAUUGCACAAUGGGCGAAAGCCUGAUGCAGCAACGCCGCGUGAAGGAAGAAGGGUUUCGGCUCGUAAACUUCUAUCAACAGGGACGAAAGAAAUGACGGUACCUGAAUAAGAAGCCCCGGCUAACUACGUGCCAGCAGCCGCGGUAAUACGUAGGGGGCAAGCGUUGUCCGGAAUCAUUGGGCGUAAAGAGUUCGUAGGCGGCACGUAAAGUCUGGUGUUAAAGGCAGAGGCUCAACUUCUGUACGGCACUGGAUACUUGCGAGCUAGAAUGCGGUAGAGGUAAAGGGAAUUCCUGGUGUAGCGGUGAAAUGCUUAGAUAUCAGGAGGAACAUCGGUGGCGUAAGCGCUUUACUGGGCCGUAAUUGACGCUGAGGAACGAAAGCCAGGGUAGCAAAUGGGAUUAGAUACCCUAGUAGUC